rnacentral:rRNA from 1 species
CCUACGGGGGGCAGCAGUGAGGAAUAUUGGUCAAUGGACGAGAGUCUGAACCAGCCAAGUCGUGUGAAGGAUGACUGCCCUAUGGGUUGUAAACUUCUUUUAUAUGGGAAUAAAACGUUCCACGUGUGGGAUUUUGUAUGUACCAUAUGAAUAAGGAUCGGCUAACUCCGUGCCAGCAGCCGCGGUAAUACGGAGGAUCCGAGCGUUAUCCGGAUUUAUUGGGUUUAAAGGGAGCGUAGGUGGAUUGUUAAGUCAGUUGUGAAAGUUUGCGGCUCAACCGUAAAAUUGCAGUUGAAACUGGCAGUCUUGAGUACAGUAGAGGUAGGCGGAAUUCGUGGUGUAGCGGUGAAAUGCUUAGAUAUCACGAAGAACUCCGAUUGCGAAGGCAGUUCACUGGACUGCAACUGACACUGAGGCUCGAAAGUGUGGGUAUCAAACAGGAUUAGAUACCCUUGUAGUC